ACCUGCCACCAUAACUGCAUAUAAGAACUCCAACUCGACCCUGAGUUCUCGCAGUUAGUUCUGAACUUCCGUCUGCUCUCGACUAUACCGGGAAUCGUCUAUUUUCCCGGAUUCCCAGGCCUUAUAAAUCGUCUCACCUCUGCAGGGAUGCGGAAGAAGGCGCAACGGCGGCCCGUCGCUCCUUGGAUUAAUAGCACAAGCGCGGGUCGCCGAUUUCGCAAUCCCUUGCAGAGGUGAGUUGAUAUAAAAAUAAUUAUGACAUGAAAAUAUAUAUACAUAUACAGAUGCUUUAACUCCGAUGGUGGAGGUUUUCAGAUG